UACGGGGGGGGCAAGCGUUGUUCGGAAUUACUGGGCGUAAAGGGCUCGUAGGCGGCCAACUAAGUCAUACGUGAAAUCCCUCGGCUUAACCGGGGAACUGCGUCUGAUACUGGAUGGCUUGAGUUCGGGAGAGGGAUGCGGAAUUCCAGGUGUAGCGGUGAAAUGCGUAGAUAUCUGGAGGAACACCGGUGGCGAAGGCGGCACCCUGGACCGACACUGACGCUGAGGCGCGAAAGCUAGGGGAGCAAACGGG
rnacentral:rRNA from 1 species